UGCGCACAAUAGCGGCCGGCUCCUCUAUCUAUUUUGUGUCCAGCCGGAGCGGCGCGCGAUGAUUCAUUGCCCCAAUUAGGGGCUCUCUCCAGCGCGCCAGGCUCAAGCUGUCUGAAGGGUCUCCUGGGGGACCCGCCGAAACCCAUCAGCAGCUAGAGCUGGUCUUUAAGUAAAGGUCAAGCAGGACGCGGGAGGAGCCAGGUAAGGACGCGGCGGGCGCCCUUGGAGACAUUGGAGACGGAGGAACCCCCGGCCCCAGGGCCGCGGUAAGGGCAGCCCAAGUCCAGAUGCUGGCACCCUGCGGGGUUCGCUCAGGGCGGUCCGGCACCCUCUAAAGGGGGAACCAAGCCAGAAAGCCCUUUUCAGUCCCUAACAGGCCUGGGUUGGGGACACCAUUCAGGGCCCCAUGUUCUAAUUUUGGAGAGAGCGAAGAGGAGUCGUCCCAGUCUCCUUGGACCCACUAGUGAAUGCAGCAUCCAGCAGACAGUCUGGGGCCUGCUCUGCCCCCUCCCCACCACCGCCAGGGGUCACUGGGUCACCAGCAGAGGUAGAAAAGGUCCUGUGUGUCCCAAGUCCAGUGACUUAACCUCUCUGGGCCCCGAUUUCAUUCUCUUCAGCGGGAGCUGCAGCAGAGGAUUAACUGUUUCCACGUCUUUGUUGUACAUGUGUAGAGAUACGUUGUAUUUAUUUAAUAGGCAGACUGUUGUAAAUGCUUUAUAUACGUCACUCAAUUGCUCCUCCCAGUAACUAAAGGUUAAGUGUGAUCAGCCUCAUUUCACAGACAGCAAAGAAGUGGCAUUGACUGCCGUCGGGCUCCAGGCCCUGCUCUUGACCACCGGGGUGAGUAGCUGUGCGAGGCAAAUGUCUGGUCCAUGUCACCAGCCUGCUGAUGGAGACUGUCCAUGGCAGGGCAAGGCCAGGAUCCCUGGGUCCUCCCAGAUGAUCUGGCUCAGGCCCUGGUCCAGUCCAGGCAUCACCAGACCUCUCAUUUCCCAUCUGUGAAAUGGCACCCCUUCCAGCUUCAAAAUUCUCCGAGUCUCUGACUUCUGGGCAGUUUACAGCUUCCUCACACCAUUCUCAGCCUGGGGACAAAGGUGCCCGGUGGUCCCCUCCACCCACUGGGACGCUGAAAUGCAAGUAAAACUGGGCUUCCUCUUGGCAAGGAAGAGGGCCAUGCGUUAUAAAUAAACGCAAGAAGGCCUCAGCGCCGCCCGCGCCUGCUCUCCAGAAUCCCUGGGGGAUAUUCCAGGGCUCAAGGUCCAAGGGUUAACAGGAAAUCGUCAUUGCCAGAGAUGAGGGCCUUCGGGCCUUCACCCUGGCCCAGAGGAAUGCUGUGUCAGCAAAACUGUCCCGAAGGAAUGUUGGGGGUGGGGCGGGGGGCUUCCUGGCGCCUGGCAUUUUUAAUACCUGGAGAGAGGAGGGCGGGGGGCUGAUUAGGAAAAGUGUAAAGGGCAGUGCCUGUUGAAUUGCAUCCUUGCAGAGUUAGAGAGGCUGUCAGGUCCCACACAGACCAAGUGGCUGCUGGUUAAGACACUGCCCGGCCGGGGACAUCGGGUCCGCUGGAGGUUCUCCAGCUACCUGUCUGCACUACCGUGUGCUAUGGAGAGCCACUGUGAUGAGGUCACACACAGAGUCUGACGGAAGAGGGCCAUGGGCUCAGCCAGACCAAAAGAGAGAGGUCGGGUUGGCUGGGCUGACCUGGGUUCCUCCAGGAGGUAUUCUGAGUAUGCACCAUACGUAGGCAGGGGUGAGUGUGUGCAUGUGUGAAUGUGCAUGAUUCUGCGUUUGUUAGAGUGUAUACGUUUGUGUACAUAUGCGUAGUUAUAUAUGUAUGUGCAGCCUGUGUGUGAGCAUGUGAGUAUGCAUGUGUGUGUGCAUUGGUGUCCAUGAGUUCACCUGCGUGCUUGUGGGUGUGUGCCUGUGUGUGCAUGUCAAGUGGGCCAGUAAUAGGAGCGGGAGGCAUCCAGCUGGAUGUUUGUCUUCCCUUCACUGACCCAGUGACUCAGGAAAAUCCCCUGGAACACGUCUUGGGAGCCAGGAAGCAGAGUGAACACAGAUCAGAGGAGAAGGCGGGUGAUGGUGGCCACUCCUCUGGGUGGAUGACAUGGGGGCAGGGCCGCUGCCACAGCUCAACACACCAGAUCGACAUCACACCUCUGCCAUUUACUAGCCGUGUGGCUUUUGGCUUGCUCCUUUACCUCUCUGAGCCUCGGUUUCCCCAUCUGUAAAGCAGCACCAACUUGACAGUGUGCAGGGAGAGCGAAUCGAGCCAAUCCCGGGAAAGCACUUUGUGUCGGGAUGCAGAAUAGCAGUGAUAUAAACACUCGCAGCAUGUGUAAGCAUUAAACAUCCAGCACGCCCGUUCCGUGUAAAGCACAUGCCAGGACCUCUGCUUUGCAGGUGCCAACUCAACGAAUCUUUCCCAGAAGUCCAUGAGGUAGAUUCUGUGGUACCCGCAAGUGUAGGGGUGAGGGAAGUCACAGGCCCAGGGUCACACAGCGUUGUGGAGCUGGGACUGGCUCCCAGGCCGCAUGCCUGUGAAACCCCUUGCUUUACUAGCUGGCGAGAUUCACUUUGCUUUCAGUCCUGAGAUGCCGGGACAGGAACAACCUAGAGUCCGAUCUCCCCUCUGCUCACAUGUGUCCCCAGUUUCACACCAAAGGAAACAGGCCCUCACAUGUGCCUGUCUGGAUACAAAACAGGCCAAGUUUGUGCCAGGAGAUGAGAAGAAAUGCCAGGGUGCAUUGGCAUGAACUUCACACGCCAAAGUAGACUUGAAGUCCCUGUUUCUAAUGGAAAUGGGCAAAAGGCUCAAACAGGACUAAGCCGUCCAAACAUCCCUGGCAAGAGCUGCUGACGCCACAGCCUUACCGUCCCCAGCAGAGCCCUCUCUUGGCUUCCCUCUAAGCCUUACACCCCACCCUGCAGCUGGAGAGAGGGUGCCAGGCUCCCUGCAGACCACACACUGCACAGCCCGGCUCUCCGUCCUUCAAUCAUAGGACUUGAAAAGCACUGACAGACGCUCAUAGACAGACUCUGCAUUGGGAGCAGGUAAAAAAUGCCCACCUCCAUUCUGCAGGAGACAGGAGGCUGUCAGCAAGGAGCACCUGGACGUAUCUCAGAUUUGCAGCUACCUGUAGAACCUGAGCUGGCUUGCCUGGCCCUGCCCAGUUUCACAAAGCUGUGGACAUGGUUGGGGACCAAUCGGUGCUUGAACCAGGGACGCCGCUAGACUCUCCAAAACCUCACUCACUGUGCCUUCCAGUUCCAGAAUCAUUCAGCUGCCCGGCCAGCUUCUACUGCGCCAUCAAACAAGAUUCAACUCUGCCAUGUGCCCCUGGCUUUUCCCAGCCCUGCAACCCGGCUUCCCUUCUCACCGGGGCCUUUUGCCCUUUUCCUCCUCCUUCUAAACUGCGCCUGCGCCUCUGGCAUCCCUCCCAGGACCCACUUACCUUCUUAAGCUGGUCCAUCCUCCUCUUUUCAGAGGCGACGUGUGCUGUGUUUGGCCUCCGGCUCACUGGGGACCAGAAAAACAAAAUAUAUCAUCUGACUGCCCU